GAUGAACGCUAGCGGGAGGCUUAACACAUGCAAGUCGAGGGGCAGCAUAGGGUAGCAAUACUCUGAUGGCGACCGGCAAACGGGUGAGUAACGCGUAUGCAACCUACCCUGUACAGGGGGAUAACCCGGAGAAAUUCGGACUAAUAUCCCGUAAUAAUAUCCGGAGGCAUCUUUGGAUAUUUAAAGUUCCGACGGUACGGGAUGGGCAUGCGUAACAUUAGCUGGUUGGUAAGGUAACGGCUUACCAAGGCUAUGAUGUUUAGGGGUCCUGAGAGGGUGGUCCCCCACACUGGUACUGAGACACGGACCAGACUCCUACGGGAGGCAGCAGUGAGGAAUAUUGGUCAAUGGGCGCAAGCCUGAACCAGCCAUCCCGCGUGCAGGAAGACGGCCCUAUGGGUUGUAACUGCUUUUCCAGGGAGAGAAACUUACGCACGUGUUGCGUGACUGACGGUACCCUGGGAAUAAGCAUCGGCUAACUCCGUGCCAGCAGCCGACGGUAAAAUCACGUGUAC
rnacentral:rRNA from 1 species